rnacentral:rRNA from 1 species
CCUACGGGGGGCAGCAGUGGGGAAUAUUGGGCAAUGGGCGCAAGCCUGACCCAGCAACGCCGCGUGAAGGAAGAAGGCCCUCGGGUUGUAAACUUCUUUUGUCAGGGACGAAGAAAGUGACGGUACCUGACGAAUAAGCCACGGCUAACUACGUGCCAGCAGCCGCGGGAAUACGUAGGUGGCAAGCGUUAUCCGGAUUUACUGGGUGUAAAGGGCGUGUAGGCGGGACUGCAAGUCAGAUGUGAAAUUCCAGGGCUCAACCCUGGAACUGCAUUUGAAACUGUAGUUCGUGAGUGAGGGAGAGGCAGGCGGAAUUCCGUGUGUAGCGGUGAAAUGCGUAGAUAUACGGAGGAACACCAGUGGCGAAGGCGGCCUGCUGGACAUUAACUGACGCUGAGGCGCGAAAGCGUGGGGAGCAAACAGGAUUAGAUACCCCAGUAGUC